rnacentral:rRNA from 1 species
AUUGUUCAACGGCCGCGGUAUCCUAACCGUGCGAAGGUAGCGUAAUCACUUGUUCUUUAAAUGAGGACUAGUAUGAACGGCUUCACGAAGGCUAUACUGUCUCCCUUAUCUAAUCAGUUAAACUAAUCUCCCCGUGAAGAAGCGGGGAUUCACAUAUAAGACGAGAAGACCCUAUGGAGCUUAAAACACCUCUAAACAUUUGACCUCCACACUACUAUUUUCAGAAAUCUUCACAAAGCCCGUCAUUUUGUUUUAAGUUUUAGGUUGGGGUGACCGCGGAGAAUAACCUAACCUCCACGUAGAAAGAACUUUCUUUUCUAAGCAAAAAGCUACAUCUUUAUGCAUCAACAUAUUGACCUAAUUGACCCAAUUAUUUG